GGGUGUCUGCUUCUCCUCUCUCCCGAAGCUGCACACGGGUCAAAGAGGAUGAACUUCCCCAAAUAGAGGAGGACCAGUCUUUGGUCAAGGGAAUAUGAACAGCUGCCCUCCCCAGCUAGAACCUCCAGAUAAGCUCUUGAGGUGUGUUUCUUGUAUGUAGCAAAAGGACAGCUCCUGUUAUUAUAUUCAUUCUGUUAGCCUGUAUCUUUUAUA
rnacentral:snRNA from 1 species